AGCACCUGUUCCGCUGUUUCUGUGUCUGUGUCCUCCAGAAUCAGGGGCUCCUUAAGGGGAAGGCUCAUGUCAUUUUCGUCUCCCUGACAUCGGUCUGGCGCUUCACAACACCUGUGCAUACAGGCACUCAGGAAUUCUUUGCUGAAUAACCACAUCUCUGGCCAACAUUCUUGAGAUUUUAACAGCAUAGAAAAGUGCAUUUACCAUGGACAUCACAAUAGAGCUAAACAGAAUGGCCAGUACCUGGCACCUUUCCUUCCCCCAGGAGGAUAACUGGGCCUUGCCUAGAGCCAACCUUCCCCCAGACUUAGGCUCAUACACACAGGAGACAAGAGAAAGCAGGUCUUUAAAACUAUCCAGAAAAGCUUUCACUUCCCACUGGCUGUGGUCCCAGGCCCUGCACAGUGUUCUUCAAGGGAUUCCUGGAUUACUUCCAGGAGCAGUUUGUUCCCAGGCCCACAGCUCUUGUGUGAUGGAGCCAGAAGGCGUGUGCAGGGCUGCUUGACUCUAAAGCCUGCUCCAAACCUGCGGGAAUGAUGGUUUGCAGAGGGAAGGACGAGCUGACCUGGACUGCCUUCCUGG
rnacentral:lncRNA from 13 species